CCCUAUUAUGUAUCGUUUGAUUACUGUAAUUGACGUAUAGAAUUAAUAUAAUUUUUGAAUGGAAUAGGACCUUCUAUACCUAUUAAUUGAUGAUAAAAUAUAUUUAUUAUGUAAGCUAUUUUAUCAAAAUAAUUAUUAAUACUAAAUAUUUUGAUUUUGAUAUUGUCAUAAAAUUUUUUGAGAAAAUAGCCGAUGCACGAAU
rnacentral:lncRNA from 1 species